UACGUAGGGUGCGAGCGUUAAUCGGAAUUACUGGGCGUAAAGCGUGCGCAGGCGGUUUUGUAAGCCAGAUGUGAAAUCCCCGGGCUUAACCUGGGAAUGGCAUUUGGGACUGCAAGGCUUGAGUGCGGCAGAGGAGACUGGAAUUCCGCGUGUAGCAGUGAAAUGCGUAGAUAUGCGGAGGAACACCGAUGGCGAAGGCAGCCCCCUGGGCUGAGAUUGACGCUCAGGCACGAAAGCGUGGGGAGCAAACAGG
rnacentral:rRNA from 1 species